AAAUUCGAGCUGCACUCGAACGCACCACUACAGCAGACAUUGGAUUACCGUGAAAGCAACAAGCUUGACCGGACAAACCGCCCACCGCUGCUGCUGCGGCGUCCUCUGAGCUCCGGAGGGAACAGCGGGAACCCGAAGCCCUUCGUCCAGCGCUAAAACGGAUGCUCGACUGCGUAUGUCCCGUGUCCCGAGGAAGAAACAAUAAAGUCUGUGUUCUCUGGAGCGACCUACAGCUAAGAAGAUGUCAAUGGCUUAUAAAGAUGACGAGGAAGACUGGUUGACAGUUUGCCUCAAGUAUCUGCUCUUUCUGUUUAACUUUCUUUUUUGGGUGGGUGGAGCUGCAGUCUUGGGUGUAGGAGUGUGGACCCUGGUGGAGAAGAGUGACUACCUUAGUCUGUUGGCCUCCAGCACUUUUGCUGUUUCAGCGUAUAUCUUGAUCCUGGCUGGCGGCCUAGUGGUUGUUACUGGCUUCUUGGGCUGCUGCGCUGUUAUCCGGGAACAGAGAAGCUGCCUUUCCACGUAUUUCUUCUUCCUGCUGUUAAUAUUCUUGAUUGAGUUGGUGGCUGGCGUGCUGGCUUAUGUUUACUACCAGAGGCUGAGUGAUGAACUGAAGGAGCACCUCAACCAGACAAUGACUGAGAAUUAUGCUCAGCAAGGGAAGGAGACGAUCACAUCCGCAGUGGACAGACUGCAACAAGAUUUCAAGUGCUGUGGCAGCAACAACUCUCAUGAUUGGACGCUGAGUGCGUACAUUAGGUCAGAGGAGUCGGGGGACAGGGUGGUGCCUGACAGCUGCUGUAAAACCAUUACGCCCGACUGUGGCAGGAGGGACCAUCCCUCCAACAUCUAUAAAGUGGAGGGCGGUUGCAUCACUAAGCUGGAGCAGUUCCUUGCAGACCAUCUAUUGGUUAUUGGAGCGGUGGGAAUUGGUGUGGCCUGUCUUCAGCUGGCCGGGGCACUCUUGACAGCCUGCUUUAUCUAUCUGCUCUAUAAGGAAGAGGAAGAGGACUUUGGUGCAUUGUAAUUUGGCUCUAGAGCUCCUUGGUGCUUUUAAUCAAAUGGAUAGACGAGGUUGGAAGAUCUGUGGGAUGGUGUUCACCUGCUGCUUGCACAGGAGGAUUAAGAUGGAUCCUUACUAGGCGUACAAGACCCCAACAAAACCACCGAUAACACGCAGAUGUGGCAAAGCCUGCCGACACCUGACUUCCACAUCUGGAUCUGGGAUUAACAAUCAGAGAAUAUAAGUGAAGUUUACAUGCAGCACCGUCAGAAACUUAAGCCAUUGAGUCUUAUGUUCUACGAAAAGAGGAUAUAUUUAUUUGGCUUGCAUGCAGGAUUUAAAUGGAGAUGAACGGUUACCUUCUGUAACUUAUGCAAAAAUAAAGACUUGUCUUUCCCCCCACUCUUAUUUCUUAAUACAGUAUCCUCAGUUUUUGAGAGCAAACGAGCAUUUAUAAAAGACACUGGCUGCACUUGUCAUUGUUUAUGAAGAGAUGGAACAUAAUGUGCCUUUUUUUUUUUUUACAGGAUUGUGUUGAUGAAUAAUUAUGUGCCGAGUGCCUUGAAGCUUGAAAGAAAUUAUGACAACCCAACAUAGUAAAGUGUAUAUUUCUGAGUGGUUAGCUAAAUGUUUCCAACAAAACUAUAAUGCUGAAUUUUGCACGAUUAAUCAAAGUUAACUCGUUAAAGUUGCAACACUCCCAAAGUUUGCCUGCAACUUAUUUCUUGCAAAACUGUUGACACAUUUUCACAUUUUUGAAUUUAGAACUCCACCUAGUGGACGCAGCUCUCAAUUAAAAACAAGCCACGGUUUUGUAAAAGACAUUAUGGAUGGUAAUCUGAUUUCAUUUUCCAUAAAAUGUUGAUUUUGAAAUGAUUGUGGGCACCCUGAUAUCUAAGUUUUUACAUUAAAGCAAAGACUUUUAUUUAAUUUCAUCUUUUUUUGUCAUCGUUCUACUUUCUGUUGUAGAUAUGAACAUUUUAAAUUAGAAAUGUGUUCCUCAUUGUUACUGUCUGUAGUUGUAAUCAUUGUAUCAUUUAAUCUGAUUAAAAGAAUUUGUCACUGCCA